ensembl:misc_RNA Metazoa_SRP Metazoan signal recognition particle RNA
CCUGGCGCAGUGGUGUGUGCCUGUAGUCCCAGCUACUUAGAAGGCUGAGGCUGGCGGAUUGCUUGAGCCCAGGAAUUCUGGGCUGUAGUGCGCUAUGCCGAUCGGGUGUCCACACUAAGUUCGGUAUCAACAUAGUCACCUCCCAGGAGCGAGAGACCAUCUGGUUGCCUAAGGAGGUGUGAACCCACCCAGAUUGGAAAAGGAGCAGAUCAAAACUUCCAUGCUGAUCAGUAGUGGGAUCGUGCUUGUGAAUAGCCACUACAUUCCAGCCUGGGCAACAUAGUGAGACCCCGUCUCUA